CACAGUUAGAUCAAUUUAAACGAGGAAAAGAGUGCCGCCCUUUCUAUAUCGAUUGUUGACCGUCGAGACUCGAGACACUCGAACUCUGGCGAGUUCGAUCUAGAUCGAUCUUCAAGCUAUGGUGUUUUCGGAAGUGAUGACAAGAUGUUUUGCGUUCAAUUUGCGACUUGAAUUGAGUAUUGUUAUUUGUGCGUGAGUGGUUCACUGUGCUUCGAAGAAACAUUCAGUAAGAGCUUCUGCGAGCAGCAAAAUGUUCCACCCGUGACAGAUUUGGUGCUAUCUGCAAUCGUUAUCCACAGCAAAACUCUCAUUGUGUUCACCGAGCUGUCAAGAGCAUCAUCAAUCACUAGGUGUGACUACCCAACUCAUCACCAUUCAUAUUUCACAUUGAUUUUCAAGUACCGUUGAACAAGCAGGGUAUUAAAGUGGUAUUUAUUGUCUUUCCAGUGUUCGCUUUUGUUUUCACUCCCAAUUUCACCCUGUGCGAGCUUCUAAAUAGACGUUUUUCAAAUAUUUGUGACAAGAAAGGUGUUCUUGGUCUUGAAUUGAGACACUUUGAGAUUUAGUAGAAAACUGUGGUCUGUUUGGUAACAAGCAGCUUGUGAAGCUGCUUGUAUUUUAAUGACAGGGCAAAGUAAAUAAUAGUAACAAAUACAUGUUAAGAAUCUUCUGUAGACUCUGGUUGGUUGCGGCCCAUCAAUUCAAAAGUAUUUGUUCGAGAAAGCAGU